rnacentral:piRNA from 1 species
UGUGACUCUCAACCUAUAUUUCGUAUUGAC